rnacentral:lncRNA from 1 species
GAGAGAGAGAGAGAGAGAGAGAGAGAGAGAGAGAGAGAGAGAGAGUUGACCAAAUUCGACGUAUGCAUGCACAAGGUGUUACUUAAGACUACCGGAGACGUCGGUAUCCUUUCUCCACCUUGUACAUAUAUACUCCGGCAUUAUGCAUAUGUAUUUUAUUCUAAUUGAUUGUACGCGUAAGGAAAAACGGAGGGACAGAGAAAAAAAUGUUUAAUGCUUGUUUACUGUAAUGAUAGUAUUUGCCGAUUCUCGCUUCUUUGUUGCGACUCAGCCUUCGUAAUAGUGGAGCGAAUGAAUGAGCAAUUUUCGAUUUGACGAAGAGAAGAAGAUUGCUUGCAGAUGGAGAGAUGAGGAUUUAAACGUAAAACGUUACCGUUUAUGCUAAGUUCGAGGAAACCUGCACUCUGAAUACAUAUAUAGUGGCUGUCCGACGACUACCGCAUUAUUUGUUCAAUGAUAGAUAUCAGUUCGACGUGUCCGAACGUGAAGUCGUAGAAACCUGUCGUUGAAGGAUAAUUCUGUAAUCGGUGGACGCACAUCCUGUACACAAUGCCUUCCUUCGAUCGACCAAUGAAGUGUACACACAGCUCAAGUAUUCGUCGACGACAAAUUCUUGCUUGCAGCCAAGCUAGGAACAUAUGUGCCAUCGUUUUCGUGCAGUAAUAAGGACAGACUUAAAACUUAGGACACUUUCUUACAAGACUGUAUUUUUAACUCCAGAGCGACUAAGUCCGUACGGAUCUAAGAACCUGAACCUGAGCUUCGGCCGAGCCGAGAAUCUAGACUUUCUCAACCAGUGUCGAUACCCCGAGGACAUACCUAGGUCUAAAAAGAGUCGAUAAAAAUUCAGACUUCAUUCAUUGUGAGGAUCCGAGGAUCUAGGAGUGGCUGCAAGGCUCUAAGAAAUCCGAGGAUCUAAGGAUCUCAGUGCGAUCCCUAAACGUACCUUAGGAGUCUAAGCUAUGAAGGUUCUACGAACUUUGAAAUUUCCCGUAGUUCUAAACAUUUUUAAACGAGUUCUAAAACGAUAAUUCGAUCAUUGUGGUGCUUAGAUACGUCCCGGUAGCAUAGAAGGAUAUAAAAGCGACGAAGAGAUGAGGCAACUCGAAGCAAACCACGAAUUUUUUUAUACAUAACAUUAAACCGUGCGAAAACUUGAUGCAAAUGAAAGAAGUAAGAAUCUCACAAAUUCACGAUUGAAGGGCUCGUCGACAUGCUAAGUGCGGGAUCGAUAAUAGCUUGUCCUUGUUUGUCGGUUUGUAACCAAACGAUUUUGAUGAAAGAAACUUAAGUGUGAAAGCAGUCUUCAAGCGGCGAAAGUCUUGCGUUUGUAUAACGGAUGUUUGUUGAAGAAUCGUCUUCACGUUAGACAUAAUUUUCCAGUCAUCGUCAUUGCGCACGAGGAUUGCUCCUCGGAUCUGGGGAACGUUUUAGCAUGGCACUGCCCAGAGCCCUUCAAUUCCGAAGUCCAUCGUGGCAAAAUGUUGCCAAGGCGAAAAUUGCGAGAUGCGUUUACUGCGAACGCCUACGUUGAGGAAUUACUGCGAAACACAGACGGAUUGUUUCUCCCUUUACUUGCGUUUCUACGAUGAACAGCACAAAUCUGUCUGCGUCCAAGCCAAAGAGAUACCCCGACGAUACGAUGUUGCGACACGCUACGUUAAAACAAGUAUAAAAUAACGAGUAUAUAAUGAGGAUUUCUAUAUUACGGGUGUUCCGAAAGAAAAGCGCAGUCUUCGUAGAACUUAUAUAUUGUUUUCUUUUUUUCUUUUUUUUUUUUUCAAGAUCCUUUAUCCAUCCAAGAUGUGACGAACAUCGAGAAUGUUUCUAACAUCGUAAAUGUUAAAAAAAACGAUCGUUCAACUGAUCGAAGCUCGUGAAUCUUUCGGAAUGUCCCGAACAUACGAAAGAUGUAAUUGUUUCUUAUGUAAUUUAAUUACAUUUAUAAUUACGCGAUACAGGUAGAAUUAUAUAUGUUGCAAUCCUGUUCGGUUUGUAGAUUUUUUAAUUAUUACCGAUGCAUCAGUUAUAUUUGAUCCGCGAAUGGCGUGUAAUAGAGAAGAUAAAAAAAGAAAAAAGAAACAGGAACAAGAUUGUAUAGAAUACAAAUUAAUAUCUGUGAUUAUCGUCGAUGCAGAUAUAUUUUAAGUAAUUUCUACAGCGCGUUUUCGGGCAUAUUUGUAAGAAAGAAAGAAAGAAAAGAAAAAACAAUAACGAUAAUGUAACAAUGUACGGCGAUAAUACUUUUAGAAGUCGAUUGUUGAGAUAAGAUUUAUCUGUGUUUGUGUUGGAUGCAUAUUGUCAUGCCGCGUGGUGAUGAGGUUAAUUAAUUACCCAUUAAUAUAACGAAGAUAAUUAGGAUAACUAAUAUAGUGCGAAUACACUAUUAUUAAUUGUUUCAAAAGAAAAAGUAAAAAGAUAAAAAAAGAGGAAAAUCAUACGAGAGAAUGAAUGUGUUUGCGGAAUCCUUUUUGUUGUUGUAUAUUAUAGAUACGUCGCAUUAUACACGAUCAUUUUCAAUAAACAUAUUCUAUAAAUUAUAACUAUU